CCGAGGAGGAGCCUGCGGCGGAUUAGCUUGUUGGUGGGGUAAUGGCCUACCAAGGCGACGAUCCGUAGCUGGUCUGAGAGGACGAUCAGCCACACUGGGACUGAGACACGGCCCAGACUCCUACGGGAGGCAGCAGUGGGGAAUCUUGCGCAAUGGGCGGAAGCCUGACGCAGCGACGCCGCGUGCGGGAAGAAGGCCUUCGGGUUGUAAACCGCUUUCAGGAGGGACGAAGCCACUCGGGUUAAUAGCCCAGAGGGUGACGGUACCUCCAGAAGAAGCCCCGGCUAACUACGUGCCAGCAGCCGCGGUAAUACGUAGGGGGCAAGCGUUGUCCGGAUUUAUUGGGCGUAAAGAGCGUGUAGGCGGCCAGGUAGGUCUGCUGUUAAAACUCGAGGCUCAACCUCGAGAGGUCGGUGGAAACCAUCUGGCUAGAGUCCGGAAGAGGAGAGUGGAAUUCCCGGUGUAGCGGUGAAAUGCGCAGAUAUCGGGAAGAACACCUAUGGCGAAGGCAGCUCUCUGGGACGGUACUGACGCUGAGACGCGAAAGCGUGGGGAGCGAACAGGAUUAGAUACCCUGGUAGUCCACGCCGUAAACGAUGGGUGCUAGGUGUGGGCGGUGUCGACUCCGUCCGUGCCGAAGCUAACGCAUUAAGCACCCCGCCUGGGGAGUACGGCCGCAAGGCUAAAACUCAAAGGAAUUGACGGAAUCGAAUU
rnacentral:rRNA from 1 species